UCCCUGGUGGUUCAGUGGCUAAGCCUCUGCACUCCCAGUGCAGAGGACUCGGGUUCAAUCCCUGGUCAGGGAA
rfam:Ovis aries breed Texel chromosome 1, whole genome shotgun sequence.